rnacentral:rRNA from 1 species
AGGACGAACGCUGGCGGCGUGCCUAAUACAUGCAAGUCGAACGGCUUUUCUAUGGAAGCUUGCUUCCACUGAGAAGAUAGUGGCGAACGGGUGAGUAACACGUGGGUAACCUGCCCAUAAGAGGGGGAUAACAUCCGGAAACGGGUGCUAAUACCGCAUAGUUUUCUUGAUCGCAUGAUCGGGAAAGGAAAGACGGCCUUUGUGCUGUCGCUUAUGGAUGGACCCGCGGCGUAUUAGUUAGUUGGUGAGGUAACGGCUCACCAAGACGAUGAUACGUAGCCGACCUGAGAGGGUGAUCGGCCACAUUGGGACUGAGACACGGCCCAAACUCCUACGGGAGGCAGCAGUAGGGAAUCUUCCGCAAUGGACGAAAGUCCGACGGAGCAACGCCGCGUGAGUGAAGAAAAGGUUUUCGGAUCGUAAAACUCUGUUGUCAGAGAAGAACAAGUUGGAGAGUAACUGCUCCAGCCUUGACGGUAUCUGACCAGAAAGCCACGGCUAACUACGUGCCAGCCGCUGC